UACGAAGGGGGCUAGCGUUGCUCGGAAUCACUGGGCGUAAAGGGCGCGUAGGCGGCGUGGUAAGUCACUUGUGAAAUCUCUGAGCUUAACUCAGAACGGUCAAGUGAUACUGCUGUGCUAGAGUGCAGAAGGGGCAAUCGGAAUUCUUGGUGUAGCGGUGAAAUGCGUAGAUAUCAAGAGGAACACCUGAGGUGAAGACGGGUUGCUGGGCUGACACUGACGCUGAGGCGCGAAAGCCAGGGGAGCAAACGGG
rnacentral:rRNA from 1 species